GCCUAUGCCACAGCCUUAGCAACACAAGAUCCGAGCCGAGUUUGUGAUCUACACCACAGCUCUUGGCAACGCCAGAUCCUUAACCCACUGGGCAAGGCCAGGGAUUGAACCUGCAUCUUCAUGGAUCUUAGAUUCAGUAACCAUUGAGCCACGAUGGGAACUCCUGAAUAUAAGUUAUUUUGAGAGUAAAAUAAAUCUAAGAAUAAGACAUAGCGACAUAUAUUUCAUUUCUUUAAAGUUACUAUCACCUAAUAUCUAUACCUCGCAUUCUGAUAUAACUGAGCAUUCCGGUUUAUAUUCAUUUUCCCCAAAUAUGUAGCAAGAUACUUUAUACACUAAUUACUUAUAUAAGACUUAUAUUAUCUUCCUUAAAGCCAAGGAAAACUUUCUAAUUGCUACCAUUUUCUAAAUAUUUAUCUUGGAGUUCCUGUUGUGGCACAGUGGAAUCGAAUCCAAGUAGGAACCAUGAGGUUGUGGGUUCGAUCCCUGGCCUCACUCAGUGGGUUAAGGAUCUGGCGUUGCUGUGAGCUGUGGUGUAGGAGGUUAAGAGUCCAGUGUUGUCUCUGCAGCACCUCAGGUCACUGCUGAGGCUCAGGUCUGAUCCCCGGCCCAAUGCAGUGGGUGUGGCUGCAUCUGGGGUGUAGGUUGCAGUGGUGACUUGGAUUCUAUCCCUGGCCUGGGAACAUCCCUAGGCCAUGGGUGUGGCCCCCCAAAAGAAGUACUUAUUUUACAUCCCAGUGGUGCCUAGCACAACUCAGAUGUGUUACAGCAACUCCUUUUAUUAAGCUGAGAUGGAUCCUUUUCAGCCACCUGAGCCUGUGUCUUAGCAUUGAGGUGUUCCUGUCAGUGGAACAUCUGAAACUGGCAGUCCCAGCUUGUCUCAGGUACUUCAGGUACUGCAGAUAACCUGCAGGCAAACAUCUACUUUUAUUCUUUUUGACCUCAGAGAAUAUCUUUUUCAAAGAAGUUAGAGCACUUUACUAUUUUUUCCUACUUAAUCCCUGGAAGGAGCACAGAGGUAAAAACCACAUCCUUAUCCAUCAAGUGGACAAAGAGACAAAUGACUCACCCAGAUUACACAGUGAAUUAGUGAAGGAGCCAGAACGACACCAAGCUGGCCGUCAACUUCUAGUUCAGCUUCUAACACACAAGAUCAGCAGUUCCUCAUCAUUUUGUGUUCAUAGUGUACAAUUUGGGUACUGGAUUUUUUGGCAAUAUAUUUGAAAGGAUUAAAAGACUCAACACAACAGCAAAGUCAACAAUAAUAAAAAUGCAGGCACUAUUAUAAUAAGACAAAGUCUCACAGCACGCAUCUGGUGGCCUUUGGUCCUGCAUCAAUGAGCAGGACAGUUCUCCCUGUCCUGACUGGUUGCUCAUCAGGCUAAUUCUCUCAUGUGCCAGGAAACACAAGCUCUGCACCAGUCUCUUACCCCCUUACUGCUACCAACUUGCAUCCUACUCUAGGACACACAUGUGACUUUCUCAGGCCCAAGGUCAACCUGACAUCACUAUAAUGAUAUUACUUAGAAAAACUGCAUAUUACGCACCAGUCAAAAGUUGGUGGCAUACCAGUGUGUUAGAUGUGCAAGAAAAGCCAGCCUGCCUGCCUUCAGGAAAGCCAAGCUGCCUCCUCAACUAAGAGGUCAACUUGAAUUUAGUGGUUAAUUAAUACUUUAAUGCAACAUCAUCAGGAAAUAAGCAAUUGACAAUCAGUGCCAAAGGCACUCAUUAAAGACUACAUCCUCCUGUGUCACAUCAGAAUGACAGCCUAUCUGAUAGCCAGGAAGAGACAACUGACCUCAUCUAAGGAAGUCAAAGCUGGAAAGGCACUAUACCUCCCAAAAAAGCUUACUGAAGAAAAAAGGCUAUUUAAGUCUGAUUUGAGUGGUAAGAACUUCAGGUGUGGUUAAGAGACAAAAGGAAAACUAAAUACGUGAUAACUUGCAUUUUUAUAACAUAUUGCUCUGACACGCUAAGUAGUCUAUUGAUCUCUCUGGGUAAAUAAAGCCUUGUAAUAGAACAACAAAGUUAAUUACUUUCUUGUUACCUGUGGGGGAAAUUGUGACAGACAGAUGUAAUGAUCAUGGGUAAGAAAUCAGAUACAACCUAGGAUACAGUAAUUCUGAAAAGACAUGAAAAUAAUAAUUAAGGAGUUCCUAUUGUGGCUCAGCAGGUUAAGGGACCUGACAUUGUCUCUGUGAGGAUUCAGGUUAAAUCCCUGGCCUCCCUCAGUGGGUUAAGGAUCCGACAUUCCCGCAAGCUGUGAUAGGUCACAGAUGCAGCUCGGAUCCCGGUUGCUGUGGCUGUAGUGUAGGCCAGCAGCUGCAGCUCUGAUUCAAUCCCAAGCCUGGAAACUUCCAUAUAUUGAAGGUGCAGCCAUUAAAAAAAAAAACAAAUUGAACCUGAAGGUUAAUUUAGUAUUUUCUGUUAAAAACUUCUAGCAUUUGGAGUUCCCGUCAUGGAGCAGAGGAAACAAAUCCAACUAGGAACCAUGAGGUCGUGGGUUUGAUCCCUGCCCUCGGUCAGUGGGUUGAGGAUCCAGCGUUGCCGUGAGCUGUGGUAUAGGUCGCACACGCAGCUCAGAUCUGGUGUUGCUGUGGCUGUGGGCCAGCGGCUGUACCUCUGAUUAGACCCCUAGCCUGGGAACCUCCAUAUGCCUCGGGUGAGGCCCUUAAAAGACAACAACAACAACAACAAAAAUUUCUAGCGCUUAUAUGUAGCAUAGGGCCUAGAAAAGUGCAGCACUCAAGGAAUAUAUUCCACUGAAAUUUAUUACAUACUAACUUGAAAACAGGACUAUAUUAUCUAUCUGAAUAGCAAUGAGUCCAGUUUUUGUAUUUUUCCUGUGAUUACUUUCAUAAUGAGGUUAAUAAACAUUAGAAUCACUAGGGGAAAACAGUUUCCAAUGAACAAGAGAAUAAAUGAACAAAUAAUUUCUCUGAGGUACGAGACUGAUAUGAACAGAACAGAUCCAUUCACAUACUUCUCAAAUAAAAAGAAAGACUCUCAUUUCUACCCCCAAUCCCACUCUUUGUUCUAAUGUAGCUAUACUGUCUGUUGGACAGAGAGGGAAAAACCCUACAAGGGAUUAGUACACAUUCUAGAUUUUUCCCUAUGCCUAGCAGAUAAGAUUAGGCUCAAGGAGAGAAAUACAGUGCUGGUUCACCAAGGACAAUUAAUCCCUAUCUAUCUUCUUCUAAGGGUGUCAUGGAAAUGAUCUCGAGCACAAGAAAGAUGAGCAAAAGCAAAAGUCAAGAAAGUAGAGCUGAGAAAUGGAAAUGUGAAGGCUCAGCUUGAGAAGGUCCACGGGUAGCUACAGGCUAAGGAGGAUGACCACACUACAUUCCCACAGGACCAACCUGAGAACCUGGAGGGGAGUGAGGAGAAGAGAAAACAAGUGGGAUGGACUGAAUACAUUCUGAAAUGGAAAAGUCUUAUCAACAGCAAGAAUUUAAAUAUAAUACAUAAAUAAAUCAUAAAGUAUUUUAGGUGCUUCUGAAAGUGAAACAGCAACCCAACUAACUUUAAAGCCUAGUCAAUCUAACUAACAGGCAGCCUCCAGGGCCUAAUGAGAGGUAUAAUUUGGAAUACAAAGGAUUAGUUAUGAUUUUAAAAAUUCAAACCUUUGGCUUCUUCAUUUUUGUCUUUUCAGGGCUUCAUCGGUGGCACAAAGAAGAUUCCAGGCUAGGGGUCAAAUUGGAGCUGCAGCUGCCAGCCUACGCUACCACCACAAGGAUCUGAGGCUUGUCUCAGAUCUAUACCACAGUUCACGGCAACGCUGGAUCCCUGACCCACUGAGUGAGGCCAGGAUCAAACCCAUGACCUCAUAGAUACUAGUCGGGUUCGUUACCGCUGAGCCAUGAUGGCAAUUCCAAACCUUUAGCUCCUUGCAAAAAAGCAGUUACGUGACUCCUUGAUAUUUCCUAAUGUUCAACAUUUAGGAACAACAAAGCCAAUGGAGAAUAUAAGCAAAAUAUUCUAAUGUCCAGGUCCUAGGUUGAGAAGGGAAUGGGGAGGCACACAUUUCUCUGGGAGUUCUCUCAAUCUCACCUUUGCAGUAUGCUUUGGUUGAAUCUACUUACGCAUGCAAACACAUAUAAUAAUCCCCUCCCAUCACAGACUGCCCAAUAAAGAAAUGAAAAAGAAAGAUAUAAGAGAAGCUCUGGGGAUAAUUCAAUUUGUCAAAAUUAGAAGAUCUAAGAACUCAAAUUCCAACAUUUUCCUUUAGAGACAGGGCCCCUGAGGCCAUUUCCAGUUUGAUAGUUUGUUUCAGUUAUACUCCCCACACAAAAGUAAUGAGUCAUGCAAAAUUGUAAAAUGUGAAAUAGUCCAAUUGUAACCAACACUGCUUAGCUCUUGCUCUAAGAAUCCCAUAAUUUCCUGCCUUAUCCCUAUCACUUUUACUUUAAGGUCCCGGAUCUGGAGUGAGGUAGAACAGGCAAGAGUGGCAUCCAAAAUGAGGAAGGCAAAGAAAGCAGGUAUCUUUAAAUACAGCAUAUCCCCAAUCACCAGGACAAAGAUUAUUUUUUUCAGGAUUUCCAAACUCUAACAGUUUUUCUUCAGGUGUCUAAAAAAAGCACUGUCUCUCCCUAGCUGUAUUAGCCUUUCAGGAAAAAGUCCCUCUCCAAUGUAGGAGAGACACUAGUAACACAAGGAAAAGGGAGACAACUAUACUUCAUACCUGAAAAUAAAGGCUAACAAAAAAAUCUUCACUAACCAACACGAAAACACUGUGUACCUGUAAAUAAUGGCAGAAAGGGACAAAAGGUAGACAUGAAGUUGAGGGUUAUAAACAGCCAGUCUGCUUCUCCUUCACCACUGUAACCUCCAAUUCCACGGCCAAUUCCUCCCAGUGGCAGUUUCAGACUUUCUACAAAUGAGCCUUAGGGUUGGCAGUUUAAUGAGUGGGGUGGGGACAGGUUAGGUCCUGAAGCUGCCAUCAAAGCAAGAUCAUAAUUUUCACUUAUAUUUACUUAUAUAUGGAAUAUUUUUAGGGGUGGCUUGUGUUGCAUAAUAGUGGCACAGAUGUAUCUAAGGAUUCCCAAGCUAACCUGUCGUGAGACAUGUUUCUACAAUAUUUUCUUAGCCUCUUUGCUGAAAACUCCAUCUUGUCCUGCUUUACUUUACCCCAUCUUCCUGCUUGAAACACAGUCACAGUGCUGGUCAAUGACUUAAGUUUAAGAACAAAGACCUAAAGGCAUAAUUUAUUCACAGGGUCAGCUGAAUGAGGACAUAAUGAGUUGGUGUAGCCGGUGCAGAUAGGCACGCCGCACAAGCAUGAUAUGUCCUCUAAAGAAUAAGAGAAAGAGGAACCUCAUGGCCCCAAGUGGUUUAUGAGGGGUCAUUAGCAGAAUAUGCAUCAGCAAAGAGAACCAAGGUGCAAAGCUAGGCACCCUGGGUUGCUGCAGAUAGGCAUGCCCAUGCGUUUGCGGAAGCACAGUGAGGAUUCUCUAGAUGCUAUGCAUAGAUAGCUAGAAGCCAAGCUUCCUCAAAUGCUAAUGACUGUUGAAUGCCUAAAGGUCAGAGUAAAAGCUUAACCAUCUACCAGCUACGUGACCUUUAAAACAACUUUAAAAAACCUAUAUCCUGCACCUGCAACCCCUUCCUCACUUGACGUAAUCCUCAAGAGCACAAUAAAAGCAGUGUGGUUUCUUGAGGCAAUACUCUUGGUCCCUGAGACCUUGAAUCUCCCAGUUCCCACAUUUACUUAGGAUAAACGUCUCUGUGUCUUGUUUUCUGUUAACUUUUUUCCUUAAGUUUCUUCAGCCCCAACCUGCUGAGCUGGUCUCGGCACUAAGCCUGGGUGCUCAUUGCUCCCAUCCCACUAGGACCUUAAAAUUCUUCCUCAGUAAGACAAAGAUCUGAACAGCUGGAAACUUCUUUAGAGCAGGUGUUCUUAAGCUGUCACUGCAGUCUCUCUACCUUGGAACAUGAGAGUGGAGAAAUCGGGCAUUUGAAACAGCUUAUUUCAAGUCUGCUUUGAUAUGUUCAGUUUUAAUUAGUUUACCUAACAGGCAAUAUAACAUUUCACCACUUUCCCCUAGUCAUCUCACUUCAACAGAAUCAAUGAAGAUAUUUAGACCAAAAAACACUUUGUGGCUUUUACAAGCUAUCAGUUAGAUCUUAUGUUAGCUGUAUUUGUUUUACCUUAAAGAAAGUCAAGUUGAAAUUUGGUGAACCACGAUAGAUAAAGAUAAAGGUAGGAGAGAAGGGGACCCAAAGAGCAAAGGCAGAAGAACGGAAGGAUACUGGCUGAGCGCCACCACUACACACUCUACCAGGGAUUCUCUCUUACCAGGAAGUAAGAGAUAAGCUCUAGUAGUCUACCUCUUUAAACAGUCUCUGCAUUUCCAUUCGCAGCACUAUUCUUCCUUUCCAAGGCAUACCACUGCUCCAUCUCCUCUUGGGAGCGGAAUCUAUAUUCCCCCCCAUCCCAGGCUAAGCUACUUCUCUUCACUUUCUAGUAGCAAACAUGGCUACACAUACAUUACAAGGCAGCAGCUUUCUUUCUGCCUCACAGUCAUUUCAUGAUCUUGGCUAAGCUUUGAGGCAGAGCAAGAGAUAUUCGGAAAGGCACACUAAACUAUUGCGUGUCUUGAGUUGAGUGAUGUAGUUCUUGUGACAGCCAGUUUAAAUCUUCAAUGAUAAGUAUACAUGUUUCAUGUGCACAGGCCUUGCUAUUUGGAAUCCAAGAGCCUGUGCAAAAUUCAGAGUUCACCAACAGCAGAGCCUGCAUCCCAUCAGUCAUGGAGAUGGCUCUAAACAUCAAGGAUGUCCUAAAAGAAUGUCAAGUGCAUAUUAAAUCUGUCUCUAUGUGCCCUGCGGCCCAAUCCAUGCAUUCACAUUUGGAACCCAUAAAAUAGUUUUUAACCUAUCUCAUCAAUAAGGCCAAGCAAAAGCUAAGUCUCGUGCUUGAGAGGAACCAAAUUCUGGCUUCUCUCAACCACUGCUAGAAGAAAGCACAAUGUGCUACAGUGAUUGGGCACACAAAGAUCCCUUGCCUUAGUUUUCUGGAACUUUUCUUUCAAUUAGUUAAAGGAGCUAUGGAUUAUAAAUGAUGCCAUGGGUACAGGUUCACUUACAGCCAAUUUAGUAAGUGCUUGCACAGUUAAUUCUGUCAAUCUUACUCCUACACAGAAAUACAUGUGGCCCCACGGGGCCCAACCACCCACAGAGCUCUUUUGCACAUCUUUUUACCCUCCAGCACACAGAAAUAGAGGGCUACAUCCCAGAAAACAGAGAAAGAGAAAAGGUAGUUUCUCUGAAACGGUAUGUCUAGAAAACAAGGAUCCAGCUUCCCAUUUGGAUUUAAUUUCUAAAUUCAAGUCUCUCUGAAUAAACCAAAUCAUGAUUUAAACCAAGACCUUACUCUGGAGUUCCAAGUCUAUACAUCUAUAAUCCUUGGUAUGCUUAAACUUCCCUUUCAUGUAUAUGUAAGGGCACUUUAAAAAGUAGUUUGUUUGGAGUGAGUUACCAGGCUACCUCAGAUCUCAAAAAUCUAUCUCACUGUGGUAAAAUGUUAUAGUAAGGGCCUCGAAUGAUUUAAGUCUCCCUGUGCCCAGAGAGUCCCCCUCUGACUCUGGGCUCAGCCAUGUGGUUUGUGUUGGCUGAUAGGACAGUAACAAAAGUAACAAAGGCAGAGACUUGCUAAGUGCCUCCGUUUGGGGGCCUAACCUCAUAUUUCUCUUUGGAAGCCUGAGACACUAAAUGAAGAAACUGAUGGGAAAAAAAAAAAAAAAAAAAAAAAAAA
rnacentral:lncRNA from 1 species